UCUAGUAAUCUUAAUUCUUCAGUAUAUUGCAGAUUAACCAUUUGCUGCUGAGUAUUUUCACCGUGGCAUCGGAUGAAGUUCUAUGAAACGAAAAACAAACAAAUAAACCAACAGAAAAAGAGUUCUGACCUACACGGUCAGCAUCUUAGAGAUGUUCUACAUACGAUUAAUACCAACAAGGUCAAAAUUCUGUGGUGUUCGGAACUUUUGUUUCUGUGUUUCAACUCAAGAGCUGUUUAUGAUUCCCAGCAAAGGCUCAUAUAUCUUCUUUUCAUUUUUUAUCCAUUCCAGGUAGUUUUACUUUCUAGUCCAUCUAAGAAUUGUCUGGAGCCCAACAUAUCAAGAUGCAAACGUUAGCAAUGUGGAUUUUUUAAUACUAGCUGCCAUUUUCUGUAGUUGCGUCUGUUAGAAGUUUUACAGAAUUGUAAUGUUCUCCUAAUCCAUAAGCAUGUCUCAUAUAUACAAGUAUUAUUGGUUUGCCUGAAUAUUCUUCACCAACAAUAAUAGAAGGGGAAUCCAUCUGCACUACCUCAAUAGGUGUUUGCAGAAUGUGCGACAAAGCCCUUAGUUCCAGUUGACCACCCCAUGCAGCCGUAUUUGCUAUAUCAUCACAGUAUUUUUC
rnacentral:lncRNA from 1 species